rnacentral:tRNA from 1 species
GCCUGGAUAGCUCACUCGGUUAGAGCGUGGUGCUGAUAACACCAAGGUUGCAGGUUCGAGCCUCAUAGGAGACA